ensembl:snRNA U6 U6 spliceosomal RNA
GUGCUCCAUUUGGCAGCACAUAUGCUAAAAUUGGAACGACACAGAGACGACUGGCACGGCCUCUGCCCAAGGGUGACAUGCAAGUUACUGAAGUGUUCCAUAUUUUU